AGGACGAACGCUGGCGGCGUGCUUAACACAUGCAAGUCGAGCGGAAAGGCCCUUCGGGGUACUCGAGCGGCGAACGGGUGAGUAACACGUGAGUAACCUGCCCCUAGCUCUGGGAUAGCUCCGGGAAACCGGGAUUAAAUACCAGAUACGACCACUUUAGACAUCUGUCGUGGUGGAAAGGAUUCCGGCUAGGGAUGGGCUCGCGGCCUAUCAGCUUGUUGGUGGGGUAACGCCUACGAAGGCGACGAC
rnacentral:rRNA from 1 species